rnacentral:RNase_P_RNA from 1 species
GCAGUGUUCCGGUCUGCCGCUGGUCUUCGCGCGCAUCGUCUUUAUAGAUGUUUGUACGGCGUUGACGGGAGGAAAGUCCGGGCAGCAAAGGACAUCCCACUUCCGAAAACAGAAGCUGUUGGUGACAGCAGGUGUCGGCAGAAGAAAACAACCGCCCGUAAGGGUAAGGGUGAGAAGGUGGUGUAAGAGACCACCAGCCGCCGGGUGAUCGGCGGGCUGUGCCAUCUGGGAGCUGCAAGUUCGCGUAAACCGUUGCCUGAAGGUUGUCCGCCUGAAUCCGUCAACUCUCCUUCAGUGGAGAAAGUGGCGGAUGCAAUGGAGGGUAGAAUGCUUGAGCCCUGGGGCGACCCAUGGCCUAGAUAAAUGGCAGACAUUAAAACAGAACCCGGCUUACGGGAGCACUGCUUUC